CAUGAAUUUGCAGAGUCCCUGAAUGUACUGGGCUGCCGCCAUCCGAGGCAGUGAGGACAAGGGAGAAGCUUCAUUUCAUCCUCCAUAAGGAUGUUAAAGCUGACGACACAGGGCGUGCUCUGAGCGCACAGCUCUUCCCGGUCUAUCCUGCCUGCGGUGACCAAGCUGCCGCUUCGCGGGUUCAGGGAGAAAAGCUGCGACCUACCUCUGGAAACGAUGCGGAUCCCGCGCUCCACCAGCUCCCAGGUUUCCAGUCCCAGGUCCUUGGCGAUGCUGCCCACGAAGGAGCCUUUGUCGGUUUCUUCUGGCACAGAGUAUCGGAUGUUUUCAGCCCCAGCUUCCAGCAGUAGCUCCAGAGAAAGACACACCAGCACCAGCAGGCUCCAGCCGGUUAACUUCUCUGAAA
ensembl:antisense Gm37118 predicted gene, 37118